GUUUCACGUCAGCCAUCCCUAGUUAAGAGCAGGCCAACGACGUUUCUGCUAAAUCAUAGGACUGAAAUAUUGACAAUGACAUAAUUCAAUGCAAGACUUCCUUGAGGAGGUGAGACUUGUUAUCAUAAGUGAAAUUUGACGGUCAUUCACCAGCAGAUGCAAGAAACCUUUUCUCUUUGCCCAAAAGAAGUUGUUGAGAUUUAGCCAGGAAGAAAUUAGAGAGAGAUAACCUGGACUUUAAGGAAGAGAUCUGCACAGAGUUUUCUCAGAUCUGUAAUGUAGAUCUCCUG